AAGCCAAGAUGUACCUACUGCUGCCUAAGUUAGCUCCAUGUAAUUGCAGCUCCAUGUAGCCAUGUUUCAGAGAUACUUCCAUUUUGUUCAUCAUAUCAUCUUUUUCCUUUCUUUUUUCUGAACUCACAAUGAUUGAUAAAGAAAGAUGUACUGCAGGUAAAUCUUUUGCAAUCCUGCACGGUCAUUACCUCUUAGUAAAUUUUUUGAAGUAAAGAUAGAAAUUUGCUGAGAUCCAUCUGAGUUGCAAGAUUGGGCUUUCAGUUGCUCUUUGUUAGUUGUUACCAGAAUUGUUACGGGCCUGUCAAAAAUCCCAUUUUCUUUUGCCAUCAGAAAUUUCGUCAUAAGAGGUAGCAAGAAAUAUAAAGGGAAAAAGAAACAUAAAAGAAAGGAAGUUUGACAAGGAAAUAUCAAAUAUGACUAAAGUGGUCCUUUUUUUUAAUAACAACCGAGAAAACGUCAUCUCUUACAGCGGAUAGCGGGAUACGUUAAGAAUAUACACGUCAUAAGCAAAGUCAAUUUUAAAUACUACAAAUACGACAAAGACAAAGACAAAUUAAAAACGCAAACAAAAACAAAAAACCGUUAAAUCUGAAGUUCAAAUAAAAAAUAUCUAUAUUAUAUACAAUGCCUAAGCAUCACUGUGUGGUGUAAACAUACCGUGUCAUUUUUUAAAAUUUCUAAUCUACACUUAAUGACAAGGGUAAAUAAAGUUAUCCCAAUUUAUUAAAAAAAAAACAAAAAACUUCCCCACAAUUAGGAGAGACCUAUUUGAAUCGUUUAUUUGCUGAGGCUAUUCACUUUCCCACACUAACUUCCAACUCCCGUCUAAUCUGCUCAACUUCCAUCAUCUUUCCGUGUAAAUAUCUACACUAUAAAAGAACUUAACCAAUAAAAAAAAAAUUAUAAAGAGAUAAAUUAGAUAAAUAUAAUUUUUUUUUAUUAACUGCACACAUGUUAGGGUAGGAUGUGGCUCAAACACUAGCUUGAAUAAAGGGGUAACCAAGGCCAUGUUGUUGCUAGAUUUGAAUCACACAGCAAGUACAUAUAUAAUUUGUUCUUCUUAAGAAGAUACUUGUACAAUGAAAUGUAAAGUAUAUAUCCUCCUUGUUUUAUUGCUCUACCACACAGUACUAAUACUACUAUUGUCUGAUUUCCUCUAAAGAAAAAUGCUAAAUGAGAAAAAGUAGAGACAACCAUGCUCAUAAAAGUCCUAAAAAGAAAAAGUUUAUCAAUCAAGCGCAUAAAGCCAAAAAGAGAGAGAGAGAGAGGGCUGAGGGCAUUGGCAAAUGAAAUUUUAACGAGUGAUUUUGUUAUUGUUGGAUGGAUGGACCAUCUUCUAUCGCAAUAGUAGUAUAAGACCAAAUUUCCUGUCAAAUCAUUUGAUAUACACAUGCCUAACAUGUUAGGUGAUUAAAAAAUUGGAGACUACAAAUGAGACAUGAUGGAUUAUUAAUUAAUUCUCCAUUAUUGUUGUACCUUAUUUUUCAGUCUUUGGAUUUGUCUAAAAGGGUUUAUUUCUUUACAACUAAAAGUUUGGAUCAAGAGUGAAAAAGAGGGAUUUCCCAGGAAACUUUCAUAUAGUAAAAAAAAAAAAUAUUAGUAUUCAUACAUUUCAAUGCAUGAAGCAAAGAGGGAUGGAAAGGUAUAUACCUUAGGAAUUUAUGCUACAAAAUUGUAAGGAUGAGAUGAUGGACAGUGUUGUAAUCUAUAAUCAGGAAAAGAAAGAGACAGAAAAUACCAGAGAAAAUGGUCAAUCUAAUGAACAAUAAUUAGUUUGGGGGAAAUAUAACAAGUUGUGAUUUUUAUUUACUUAAUAUGAUGAUGACUAUUGUAUAAAGUUGUGAUUUCUUCCACCAAAAGAAAACAAACUGGGAUGCUUCUGUACCAGUUUCAAAAAAGGGAUGCUUCUGUACUGUACCUUCUCUACAGGGAGUCAAAGUUGAGCUGCUGAUCUAAAGUGCCUCAGUAAAACACAUCUCAGUUGUUGCAACUUACAUAUACAUUUAUUUUUGUUCUGAUCAUGAUGACUUGUGAUUGCUUUUGCUUCUAUCUAUCACUUUUAAUUAAGUAAAAUUUUUGGCACUUGCUCAAUUCUAAUUGAUCAAAAGUUGUAUGAUUAAGGGACACUAAUAUCAACUUAAUUUUACAACCAUCUUCAGAGCCAAUUUUUAGAUCGUAAUUUUUUUUUUCUGAAAACAUGAUGUUAGUGUUCUUAAAUUUCAUAUUCAUCCAAACAAGUUAAGAAUUAUGAAAAUGUUGCCCAAAUGGUAACAAAUUAAGAACGUUACCAUGACGCUUUGAGGUUCAAUUUAAGACAUAUUUCUAAACUAAUAUAAGUAAGUCGAUAGUUUUAUUUUUAUGACAUAUUAGAUAUAUGGAAUUGAUUUUUUUUUUUUUUUUCGACACAGGGGUGUCCGGGUCAAUCUUUACGGGGCCCGACUAAUCCCCUGCAACCCGGGCCCGGCGCUCCAACCCGAUCCAAACACGAUAAGUGCGCGGAGGAAUCCAGCAGAGCGGAGACUCGAACUUGGGACCUCAAGGGUCACCGGUGAGAGACGCUACCGCUGGACCAUUCACGCGGGGGGCGAUAUAUGGAAUUGAUUAUACAGACCAAAUUGUGAAAAAAAUAGGAAAAAUAAAGGAGGGGGCCAAUUCUAUUACUAUGAAUUUAUCCUAUUUAUUUACACUUUAGUCGUUAUGAGCUGGCAAGCCAGUUAGUAGGAUUGGAAAACCAUGUAGGGGCCAAACUUCAGAUUGUCCCAAAUCUGAGGGGCCGGUCUAUGAAAAUUAGCUGCCUAUCAAGGUCCAUAAUUCCAUCCAUUCCUUUGGAUUUUCCCAGCCCUAAUAUCACCUGACUUCACUAUCAUUAUCACUCCCUGUAUCCUUUCACUUUAGCUUCCUAACCCCCAACCAAGAAUACCCCUCCCCCCACCUUGAAUUUUCUCUGCAAUUCCAGCAGAUCUCCACUUUCGACCCUUGGAUCUCCUUCCAUUCUCGAUACCCUUUUGCAUUUUCUGCGGAAUUCUGGUGUGUUUUACGUUUCUUGCACUAUUCUUCCUUCCAUAUUUUCCACGCACAUUUCACACACUAGCGGUGUAAAGUUUUCUGCUUUAGGCCAUUACUUUUCUCAGUAUCACAUUGACAUUGAUGAGAUUGUGUAAGCUGACUUCAAAGUCAGGUUAGCUCACUUUUGUUCACAUUUUUUGUUUAUUUGAACUUUUCUCAUGUGGGCUUUUGUCCCUUUUAUGUAUAUACUGCAUGGAAGUGCAGCUUGAGUUGUACGGUGUUAGAUAUUAUGUGAUAUUGCAAAUGGGAUUUGCAUUAUUUUGAGGAGAGUUUGAGUUUUUGGGCAUUUGGGUUUUUGAUAAAUUGAAGCACAAAUUCAGAUCUCAAACAUGAAUGCUAUAUAAUUGUGGUCUUUCUUCUAUUUUUCUUGAAUUUGUUGAAAAUUUGUGUGAUGAUCUGAUGAGAACUAUAUGGUUAAUUCUUCUAUAUCAUACUAGUUUUCAUUUAUUGGUAUUAUAUGAUAAUGAGUUCUGUUUACUUUUUAAAAUUCUUAAUUCAGGUGCUUAAAUCUCAGCUCUUUUCUUACCGGGUCGGGUCGGGCUGUAGCCUCAUCAUCUGGAUAGUUCACGAGCAAUGGUAUAAUGCAUUUUUCGUGGAUGUUCUUAUUUGAAACAUGUAUAAAAAUUUGUGUAGUUUAAUUGUUUUAUAGGGUUGCUAUGAAAACUUUAUUUGUAAUUUUCUUCUCAUGAUGUGAAUAUUAGUUUUCCAUGGUGCUGCUGGUUAUUAGCUAAUUUCUUGUGGAGCAAAAUAUUUCCCUGUGGCUGUGAAUCCUUGAGGGAUAUAUAGAAAUCAAGUGGUUUUACUGGUGAUCUGCCAAUAAAAGCUUUAUUCUUUUCUUGAUCUUUUCUUUUUCUGCUCAUAGGACAGAGGAAUGGAAGACAUCGAUGCAAUUUAGUGUAUAUUGUGUCUUUUGGAUAGUUUUUAAGGAUUAUGCGUCAAUGGACCGGGAUUUAAUUUUUUAGGCACAUACAAGUUCCAAUUAGACAUUCUUGGAUUAAUUGUUUGCCACCUUUUUUUAAAAAAAAUUAUUAGCCACUCUUUUUUGUGAAGUGUUCCAUUUUUUUUUGGGUUUGCUAUAGAUUGUUAGAUAAUAACAAUUUUUUUGGAGGAUGAGGCUAAACAUUUUUGUUUUUAGAAUUUUUCUUCCAAAUGAAAACACAGGUUUAUAAGUUGUCUCAUUUUGAUUGUACUGCCUUCGAGAAAUUACUAUUUGUCUCAUGCAUCUAUCAUUUUUGCAAUAUUUCUGUGCUAUGUAUGACUAAAAACAAUUUGGUUGGUGCAGUCCUUUUGUUCCCUGGAAGUAGUUUGGCGAGUUUGUAUAUCAUUACUAUAUGUUGUGUCCAACUGAGCAUGCUUGUCUAGAUGCAUUCAUGACUGUUUUGAGAAGAUGCAGAUAUGUUGUCAACUUGACAUUGUUAAAUAUUAGAGAUAAGAAAAUAUGAGAACUUUCUUCAAAGUAUUGGAUAAAUGUUUGCCAUUGCCUGAGUUAAUGCAGAUGGUAAAGUGAAAAGAUGAGUAGAGCUUUUAUUACUAACAAGUUGCUUUUUUUUUUUUUUUAAAUUAGCUUUUUAUUUGGAAUAUAAGGUUUACCAAUUUUUGGAGAUCAGAAAUACACAAUUAAUGAUUUUGUGAUGGCCAAAAUGAUUUUAUUGUAUUCUUUGCUGGUCUUAAAGUUGUAACAUGUAAUCAUAGGUCCUCUCAUCUGAACAAGCUAGAAAGGAAUGGAAGGAAGUGAAGAUAUUCUAGACCAAUCAUAAGCUCGUUUAAUAUUCUUUUUUAUGACCUCUUCGUCAUAUCUAAUUUCUCAGUUGUGAGAAUUUCAUGAUUGAUGAUAAGGUCUGAUGAUUACUGAAACCGAAAAGGUACUAUUUGUAUUUGCUCAAUGCAGAACUAACUAUAAAUAGAAAAACAAAUUUUUUGCUUUCUAUGGCAUUUUAUUUCUUCACUGUGCAUCAUUUUUCCUUUCGAGUAAGAUAAGCUAUGUUAAUGUGAACCUUGAAUUCUGGUCAAAAUUAAUUAUACAUUGAUCUGUUAUCUAUAGGAAAGAGGAAAAAAAACCUGUUGGAGUUCCUUUUUCUAUUGUUCACAUUGGUUGUUUGUUGUUUCUUAUAUGACAAGAGGGUGAAGAACAUGGAUAUCUCCUAGUCAAGGUUUCUAGCCAUCUUAUCCAAUGAGACUGGAAUUCAGCCUCCAUUAAUCUUGCUUUCAUAUGGCUGGGUUGUGCAUCAGAUAAUGUCUCAACUGAGUUAUAUAUACAAAAUACUUUAUGAAAGCCUAUGCCUUUAUAAUUUUGCCUUCCUGCAAUAUGAUGAUUAGGAAGAUUAUAGUGUUACCCUAUCUGGUUUACCAUAUAUUUCUGUACAUGUCCUUGUUUGGUUUACUUUGGGUAAGGAAAUGAAUUGAUCAGGCUUUGAUGCUUCUUGUUUCAAUUUAUUACAUAGGCCUAUCAACAAGAAGCAAUGAACUUGGUAGUCAAGUUACUGUGAUUGGAUUCUGCUGUAUUCUACAGCUCUUCAAGAAAAUGAAGUUGUAAACAAGAAUCCAUGAAUUUGAUAGCUGAGUUACUGUGAUAGGAUUCUGUUGUAAUCUACAGCUCUUCAAAAAAAUUGAAGUUGGUUUGCUCAGUUGUUCUACCGACCUGCUUUGAGAUCCUUCUGUGUUCCCUGUAUAUGAGAAAAGAGAAUAAAAAUAUAGGCUUAAUCAUUCUAAGAGAUGGCAUCGUUGUUAUUAUUUUAAAGGACAAAUGUCUUAUUCUUUGUACCCUAUUCAAUUAUUUACUCUAGGAGUAAACAGUACUGCUUCGUCCUGAAGCAUGCUAUAGUUGUUUCUCCUACUUCAUUUAUUUGCUUAAUAUGGUUUUGCUCCUUUUGAUUAGCAAGCAUUAUGUAUCUCUAUGUAGUCAUUUCAGUUUGUCAUGCAUAAUUUUUUUCCCCUUUUGUUAUGUGUCCCAUCUUGCAUCUGUUAGUGUAAACCACUGCAUAGAGGUUCAAAAGAUAGAAAGAAAUUUACAGUUGUAAAGAACCUGGUGUUCAUAGGAAAGUCGGGCAAUAUGGGAGACUAGCACACAAACUUACACACACACACUCUCUCUCUGUCUCUCUUCCAUACCCUGUAAAAGAAUACAACAUCCGGUUUUAGUUUAUUUCUGCUUUACUUUUUCAUUUGUCACAAGAUGGGGGAAAGAACUCUCAGAAUAGGAAGAACGGAAGGUAUUGAAUGGGAUGUAAUAGCACUGGAUUAGUCUUUCAGCUUUGGGUGGAGAAAAGUUCUUUAUUCCAUGGAAUACAGUUAGACUUUGAUCUCUCUGCUGUGGCAUACCACUGCUUGCACUUCAAGGUCAAUACCAUGCCAAAUCUGGUUUAGUUAAGUUUAAUGGAAGAUGCUAGCUUGCAGUUGUAACUAGUAAAUUGUCCUUGUUAAUGGAUGAUGCUAUCUUACUUCUAUUGCAAUGGAGAUUCAUAUAGUGAAAGAAGUAUCCAACUUUGAUGAGAUGAAAGUCAUGCAUCAAUGUUCUUAUGCUGGUUAGUGCUACGUCUGAUUGAAGUUUUGCCCUUCUGGAUUCUCUUACUUUGAUUUCCUAGGUUUUCUGCAAUACAUGUGAAGUAUUCACACAGAAUCAGGCAGUUCAUGCUGGUAGUUUUCUGAAUGUGAAAUUUUACACUUGCGACAAAAAAUAUAUACUCUUGGAAACUUUUUCACUGUGCUUGAUUGUUAUUUGGGUAACAAAUGGAAGCUAAUAGUUCACUUUUAAAAAAUUUUUUUUUUUACAUCGCAAGAGAUGGGGAGGAUGUUUGUGUGGAUUGGCUUGUUUUGGCAAUCAAAAAGGUGACAAACGUAUUGUACCGGCUUCUCUUAUCCCUGAGGCAACUUCAGUGGCCAAUCAGCCUAAUGGAGCUCAAGUUGGAGGAUUGACUAAUCAGAAUGCAGCGCUCUUGGCUCCACCAUCUUCACCUGCUUCCUUCUCAAAUUCAGCACUCCCUUCAACAGUUCAGUCCCCCAGCUGUUUCUUGUCUGCAAAUUCACCUGGGGGUCCUUCUUCAACCAUGUUUGAUACUGGUCCAUUUGCCCAUGAGACACAACUGGUAUCUCCUCCAGUUUUCUCAACUUUCACAACUGAGCCUUCUACUGCUCCUCUCACACCCCCUCCAGAAUUAGCACACUUAACUACCCCCUCUUCACCUGAUGUACCAUAUGCUCAGUUUCUCUCAUCUUCAGCUGGUUUUAGAAGCUCUGGGAAGACAAAUUAUGUCGCUGCUAGUGAUCCUCAAGCGACAUAUUCACUGUUUCCUGGGAGUCCUGCAAGUACUCUUAGAUCACCUGUUUCAAGGGCUUCCCGUGAUGCUCUAUCGUCAUCUUUUCCAGAAAGAGAGUUUUCACCUCAAUGGGAUCCUUCAGUUUCUUCUCAAGAGACUAAUUAUGCAAGGUCAGAAUCUGGCCGAUUGAUUGGGCUUGAUGAAAAUGCAACUGGUGGCUUCAAAAAGUCCCAAGAGUCAAAUUUCUUCUGCCCAGCUACAUUUGCCCAAUAUUAUCUGGAUCCCUCAUCAUUCCCGCAGUCUGGUGGGAGGUUAAGUGUCUCCAGAGAGUCAGAUGCUUACUCAAAUGGAGGGAAUGGGCAUCAGAACAGGCAAACCAAGACAGCUAAGCAGGAUGUUGAGGAAUUGGAAGCUUACAGAGCAUCUUUUGGUUUCAGCGCUGAUGAGAUUGUCACUACAGCUCAUUAUGUGGAGAUUUCGGAUGUCCUCGAGGACUCGUUUACCAUGACACCAUUUCCCUCGACUAAGCAACAUGAGGUGGAAGGUAUUCUUACUGCAGCAGCAGUUGAGGAAACAAAAAUGGAGAAAACAAAAGCAGAGAAAACGCAGAAAGAUACUCAAAGUCCAGAAUUCUUUAAACCAGUCUUGAAUCCCAUUGUGGUUGAGAGAAAAGUGGCAGUUUCUCCUGAUGGUCGUCAAGGUGGCACGUACAUACCUGAGAUGUCUUUUAUUUGUCUUCUGAGUAUAAGAAAUCUAUGUGGUUCUCCUUAUAUUAGUUCUUAUUGCUUGCUUUUUCCCACGUCUUCAUGCGUCCUGUUUCUGCAGGGACUAUAACCGUUUCUUUUCUAUCUCAGGCCAUGUCUCUGAUAGGCAAUCUGGAAACAUCUCUGUCCGAAGUGCACCUGGGAACCACCUUCUGAGUGAUGAUGAGGACAUCUUUUCUAAGAUGGGAGCUUCUCGAAUUAGUAGAAAAUAUCAUCUUGGUUUGUCAAGCUCGGAUGCAGAAGUUGAGUACAGGAGAGGCCGAAGCUUGAGACAAGGGAAAGGAGACUUUGCAUGGCGUGACUAAUGGUCACAGUACAAGAGUAGACAACGAAAUUGUGUCUCGUAUUAUUGAUAUGCAGGCUUGCAAUUGGUCUUGAAUGGGGGUUUUCUUUGAUAGGUAAUCUAACCUCUGAUCUAACCCCUCUCCCUCCAUCUCCCCUCCCUCUCUCUCUCUCUCUCUCUCUCUCUCUCUCUCUUGUGUGCUGUUUCCUACUGCUGAAUGUAUUCUGUCUCUACAGUUAUACUCAUGUCUGGGUCAUGUGAUGAUCCAGUAUAAUAUCUGGUAAAUGUUAUUUAAUUGGGGUGUUAGGCAUUAAGGAACUCCUUUUCUGUAAAUGGUCAUGUAUGCAUUUGUUUAGAAUUGGCCUGAACCCUUGUUCUGGAAAUAUAGUACCACUUCUAUCAGAACAUCACCAAUUGUCUGCUCUUUCCUGUUAAUCUUUGAAAUUUUAUUUUCUUUGCUCUUGUUCUGUAGCAUGUUACUUUUAACACCAUAACAAUUAACACUAUGAAGAUCCGGGGCCUCUGUAGUCAUAGGUGCGAGUGAUUGUAGCAGCCAAUUCGCGGCCACAGCGGCCUGCUGUGGGAUUUCAGGAUAUAAUCACCUAUGAUUCAGACUGGUUUGAUGAGAUAAUUGUUUUGUUCUUACCGUUGGCUUUAAGAGUAGUAAAUAAAGUCGGUAUGUAAGUCGAAAUACUUCAUCUUUUGGAUUGCUAACUGAAGUAUUUGACUAGCGAGCUCUGCUCAGCCUGGGGAAUUAGUCUGGGUGAUUUCGGGAUAUCCCUCUAGACCCCAAAGAAAAAAAAGAAACUGAAGUAUCUGACUUGCAUGUACCACAACAAUUUGCCAUAAAGAUCACACUACCACUGGCCUCUGCAACUUACACGGUCACCUAUAACAUAUUUAGAAAAUCUUUUCAACAUACAAAAGAUAUGUGUUCAAGGAAAGAACAGAUCAACACUACACAUAAAACUAGAUGGCUUCAAUUAAGGCACAGACUUGCGAAAUAGUUCCAGAAUACCAGCAUAUCAAGGAACUUUAUGGUCUAAAAGAGCGUCAAAAAAUUAUCAAACAAAUAAUGGCACUAAUUAUUCAUCAAAGUUUCCUCGAGAAAGAAGGGAUGUGCAAAUUGUUACCAAAGAGUUGAGACCAGAGCAUUUUCCAACAUCAUCCGUAUGAUUAAAGAAAUUGGUCCCUUGCAAAAACUAAUAGUUUAACAGCAUUACUAGACGUAAACCCUUUUUCUCCCAGAAAUUUGGUUAUGCAUUUUCAGAUUUAAAUCUGGAAACGUAGAGCUUGAUUCAACUUCAUCUUGAACUCAAGGUAAGCCUUUUCGCAGAUUUCCACUCCUUUGCAUCUGGUUCUGCUACUGCUACAAGAAACCAUCAGUCAUAGCUGAGUCUUAACUCAAUGUCCAACAUUCUUCAAAGCCUUGUACUGUAUGGAUCAUGACCCAAUUGCCAUAUCUGCAGCUACCUCUUCAAUCAAUCGUUAAAAGGAAAGAGAGAGAUUUUGACAACAAGAUCACAAUGUUCUUUCCUUGCUCAUCCCUUAUGCAGAGGUCACCAAUCGUGAAAACUUAACAGAGGAAAGACUGAAUUAGUAGUUCUUUAUUUCCCGGUACUUCCAAGUUCCUCAAAUCAUCAAGCAAAGGGGGUCAAUCAUUGCUGAAGUUAUCAGUUCACCGCAACACUAAUAAGAUGAGCUGAGGAAAAAUUGACAACAUAUAAACAUUACUAACUUCAGUUGAUCAGAAACAAAGAACUGCUACUUAAAUAACUGUAACAUGGAGAGUAAAAUGGGGGAAUUUCAUAAAACAAAUGCGCUAAGCCAAGAAGAAUACAAGUUCAUUUACAAUGAAAUGAGAGAAUUGUAGAUAAGAGCACAAGUGUCAGAGUACACUCUGAAUUUUAAAGGUUUCUCUGUAUGUCACUGUCAGAGCUAUUUCAAAGUUCUGCCAUGGUAAAUGUGUCCUUAAUAGAUUUCAAGGUAUUAACAACUUGUGUUAUAUUCAUUCUAUCUUCGGGUAAGUGCAUGGAGCAAGCCAAGCCAACUUUAAGCAAUGAAAUCAAACACUGCUCUAGUAAACUGCUUUUUGUUUCUCCUAGUGAAAUGCAUAUGCUAUUGGCUGCUGUAGCCCUUUUGUAGUCUUCGCAAAGAAGUACUGGAUCUACAAUAUCCAUCACAUGCUCAGGAGUUGCCAUUUCAACGUAUCUAUGAAGAUCAAGGCCUCCGGCGAACAAAGGAUGCGUGGGCUUCUUCCCUGUCAUCAUCUCCAGCAUUAGGAUCCCAAAGCUGUAGACAUCUCCACUACUUGAUACCUCGGCAUCUAAGCCGUACUCUGCAUUAAUGUUGAAGCUUUUCAGACAACAAAAAAUGUCAAAAAUAACUUGUGUAUCAAGGGAAAAUUUUCGUGUUUUUUAUAUGAUGUUGCAUAAUUAUAUAUACAAACAAUAAAGAAUCAAAUAUAUGUGUUCUUUCUUUCCUGGAGCCACAUAUCCUAUAGUUCCUGUGAUUCCAACAGAGCUGCUUUCUAAUGAACUGGGAGGUGAAUGAAGAUACUUUGCGAGCCCAAAAUCUCCAACAUGGGCUAGGCGAUCACUGUCAAGAAGAAUAUUGCUUGGUUUAAGAUCGCAAUAAGCAAUCUGCCUGUGGCAAUGAUGAUGUAGGUAAUCGAGGGCACAAGCCACAUCAAUAACAACAUUAAUUCUUUGAAGAAGGUUCAGUCUAUGAAACAUCUUCUGCUGAUCUUCUUCUGUUGGAUGCAACCAUUUUUCUAGACUCCGAUUAGGCAUGAACUCAUAGAUUAAAGCUCUAAAUUCAUUCCCUUGGAAAUCCAGACUAGUGGAAGAACUUACAAUCUUCACAAGGUUUCGAUGCUGGAUGUUUCUCAUUGCUUCACACUCAGCACUAAAACUCUUCAAGGCUCCACUGGUAUGAUGAACCUGAGAAGCUUCUUAUUUUUCUUUGACUCUCUUAGGGGCUGACACUUUGGUAGCUGUAGUUCAGGAAUGCCUCCACAGAGUCUCCUGUUCCCAACAACUGAUACUGCACUAGCAUUUCCAAAAAUGCCUUGUGUUGGUAGCUCGCCCACAAAAUCAUUGAAGGACAAAUUCAGGGACUUUAUGGACAUUCUUACUAAAAAAUGGGGGAUUGGUCCAGAAAAAUUGUUACUAGAAAGGUUAAGAUUUUGAGUACCUUUCAAAGAACUGAUAAAUUCUGGAAAAGAUCCCUGGAAAGAGUUACCAGCAAGGGAAAGGAUUUCAACGCUACUACAACCACCAAAGGUCCCAGGAAUUUCACCUGACAGAUGGUUUUCUGAAAAAUCCAAUCCAGCUAAAUUUUUCAAGUUGCCAACCUCUGAUGGUAUGGUUCCAGAUAAAUGAUUCUGAGAAAGAUCUAAUGAAAUGGACAGGGAAGAUAUCCCAAAAAUCUCUUUUGGUAUCAAACCACUGAAGUUGUUUUGAGAAAGUCCUAAGAGUAACAACUGCUGGCAAUUUCCAAGAGCUGGUGGUAUGGAUCCCUCCAAGUUGUUAUCAUCUAAAUAUAGUUCAUUCAGCAAUGAGAGGUUUCCUAAAGACUCCGGAAUUUCUCCUGACAAUUUGUUGGAAAUAAGAGCCAGCUGCUGAAGCUUUUGAAGAUUACCAAAUGUCCUUGGGAUUGUGCCUGUGAGUUGAUUCCUUUCAAGAUACAAAGUCUCUAAGCCAAUGAGGUUACCUAAUGUUGAAGGUAUCCCUCCAUAUAUUUGAUUUCCGCCAAGUGCCAUAUAGUACAAGAAUCGGGAUGAUAAGUUGCCGAUCCUUUUGGGCAAGACUCCCUUUAUUUGGUUGUUCUGUAGGCUCACUGCAACCAAAUUGCUGCAGUUUGUCAUGGUACUCAGAAACUGCAUCCCAUCCCUUACUUCCCCACUCCCGAAAUUAUUACUGGAUGCCGCUAGUGUUUUAAAAUUGUGCAGACUUCCAAAAUCAACUGCUAUUCUGCCGCUGAAUCCAUUGUUUCCAAUGUCAAUCCAGCCUAGCUCAGUGGCAUUCGACAGUGAAGCUGGAUGUAACCCUGUGAGCUGAUUGUCUCUCAACCAUGGUUCAAAGUCGCGGUCGCGGCCCGGAACGUUCGACAUCGGUCUCGGCAUAUCGAUCGCGGUCUCGGUGAGACGCAAAUUUUAAAGUAUUUAAUAUUCUAAAAAUUGUUAAUAAUAUAAAAAAGUAUGCUAAAUAAAAAUAAUUAAAAAAUAGCAAAAGAAACGGCCAAGUCAAUCCGUCGCGGUGUGACUCGGCUGAUUUCUCGUCUUGACUCGGAGUGAUUCGGUGUGACUCGGCCGAGUCAAUCCGUCGCGGUGACGACUCGGCCGAGAUUUCGAACCAUGCUCUCAACUGGAGAUACUCAAGAUGAGGAAGCAUGAAACCUAAUGCUGAAGGAAGACUUCCAUGUAGUUGAUUACUAGUAUAAUUGAUAAUAUCAAUUACAUUACAUAUACUAAUAUACAUUGUAUAAUAACUAUAAGUAAUAAUAAUAUUAUUAUAAGUUUGUAACUAAUUAAAUUAAAUAUUACAUAUAUACAUAUAUAUACAUUAUAUAAUAAUUAUAAGUAAUAAUAAUAUUAUUAUAAGUUUGUAACUAAUUAAAUUAAAUAUUACAUAUAUACAUAUAAAUAAAUAAAUAAAUAUAUAUAUAUAUUCUAACGAGUGGCGGGCCAAGGGAGUCCGCCUCACCCCACAUCCUAUUAGCCCCCAUGGUUGUCAUUCCUAGUUUUGAAUCUUUUGCCUUAUUCCUUUCGACUUCUUAAAUUCUACCCUUCCACUAUUGGGAUUAAAAAAAAAAAAAUUGAAAGGGUCAAAGUUUUGAGAUUAAUUCUGGGAUGAAGUGAACCCCUCUCAAACUACGGUUAAAUGCACUAAACCUCUUAAUGUUUAGAGUGAUUUGAAUUUUUUUCCCCUACAUUAUCUUUAUUGCACUUUUUUCCCUGGCCUAAGCCACAUCAACUUUUUGCCUUAACAAAAAAAGGGUUCCAAUUUCUUAUUUUUAUCCAUUCUUCUUCAUACUGCCCAAACUUCUCCUAUCAUCCAUAUUUUUAGUGCUGAAAUUUUAUUCUUUGUUUUUUGAGAAAUCAAGAAAUAAAUUUCCAAAAUAUUCCACUUCUAUUAAAAAAAUCAUCAAAUUAAAUAAAUUCAAAACUUUGUUAUUAUCCAAAAUAUUCCUCCUCAAGUUAUGAACAUUAAUAAGUGAAGGUCAUAUAGAAAUAUGGUAAUACAUCCCUUAUGCAUUCCGUGGACAGUUAAAAACUUUGAUAACAAUUUAACUAAAAAGUUUUACAUGGUACUCUUUUUUGUUAAUCAUUCUACAAUUUUUUUCCACACAAAAUGACUUAUGUCACAUUAGACAAUACAGAAUGAAUUCAGAUGCAAAAACUAGUAGUCAAAAUAAUAACUAUAGUAUUUUUGCAAUGCGAUGUAUGUGAGAUAAAAAAAUAAUUGAAAAGAUAAAGAGAAUAGUAUGUUGAAAAAUGUGUUUGCGAUGCAAGCAAACAAUUUUUUGACAAAUAAUUCCUAUCCAAACACCCCGGCAUUUUUCUUUCUUUCUUUCUUCUUUUCCCUGAACAUCUGGUUAUGCACGUAUGGAUUUAAUCUGGAAACUUAGAGCUUGAUCCAACUUCAUCUUGAGCCCAUGCUAAGCCUUUUUCUGCUGAUUUUCACCAUUGUUAUGCAUCCCAUUCUACUACUGCUACAGAAAACCAUCAAUUAUAGCUGAAUCUUAACCCAAUGUCCAACAUUUUUCAAAGGCUCAUACUAUAUGGAUUGGAUCAUAAUGCAAUAGCAAGAUGAAAGACUGAAAUCUCUUACCCCCGCCCCCCCCCCCUCUCCCAAAACAAAACAAAAACAACCUUCUUGUAAUUCAACGUUCCUCAGAUCAUUAAGCAAAAGGUCAGUCAUUGCUGCUUAAAGAUUGUCACACCUGAAGUUAAUUAGUUCACUGCCACACACUGACAACAUAUAAACAUUAUUAACUUGAGUUGAUCCGAAACAAGAAACUGUUAUUUAAGCAUUAAGGUGAAUUGAACAAUUUACUUUCAACUCAAUCGAGAAUGUGCGAAAAGGCUAGUGUUAAAUUGACUUGAUUAACUGCAAUGUGGAGAGUAAAUUGGGGGGAUUUGAUCAAAACAAAUGUGUAAAGCCAAGAAGAGUAAAAGGUCAUACAUUAAAAUGAGAGAUUCGUGGAUCAUAAUACAAACCUUUGAGUACACUAUGAAUUUCCAAGGUUUUUCUGUUUAUCGGAGCCAUUUUAAAGCUCUGCCAUGGUAAAUGUGUCCUUGAUAGAUUUUAAUCUGCAAAGAACUUGCGUCAUAUUUAUUCUAUCUUCUGGCAAGUGAAUGGAGCAAGCCAAGCCAACUUUAAGCAAUGAAAUCAAACACUGCUCUAGUAAAUUGCAUUUUGUUUCUCCCAGUGGACUGCUUCUGCUAUUGGCUGCUGUAGUUCUUCUGUGAUCUUCACACAGAAGUACCGGAUCCACAAUGUCCAUCACGCGCUCAGGAAUUGCCAUUUCAACAUAUGUAUGGAGAUCAAGGCCUCCAGUGAACAAAGGAUGUGUAGGCUUCUUCCCUGUCAUCAUCUCCAGCAAUAGGAUUCCGAAGCUGUAGACAUCUCCAUUACUUGAUACCUCUGCACCUAAGCCAUACUCUGCAUUAAUGUUGAAGCUUGUCAGACAGCCAAAGUAUGAAUUGUCAAAAAUAGCUCAGUUUUAAAAUUUGUUGUUUUGUAUAUGAUGUUGAAUGAACAUAGGUAAGAAAGAUUAAUUUAAAAAAAUCAGUCAGAUUUGUACUUUCUUACCUGGAGCUACAUAUCCAAUAGUUCCUCUGAUUCCAGCAGAGCUCGUUUCCUGUAAAUUUGGAGCUGAAUGAACAUAUUUUGCCAGCCCAAGAUCUCCAACAUGGGCUGUCAGAUCGCUGUCAAGUAGAAUAUUACUUGGUUUUAGAUCGCAAUGAACAAUCUGCUUGUGGCAAUGGUGAUGUAGAUAAUCAACGGCACAAGCUACAUCAAUAGCAACAUUAAUUCGCUGAAGAAGGUUUGGUAUAGGAAAAAUGUGCUGCUGAUGUUCAUCUGCUCGAUGCAACCAAGUUUCUAGACUGCCGUUGGGCAUGAACUCGUAGAUUACAGCUUUAAAAUCAUUCCCUUGGAAAUCCAGACCUGAGGAAGAACUUAUAAUCUUCACGAGGUUCCGAUGCCGGAUGUUUCUCAUUGCAUCACACUCAGCAAUAAAACUCUUGAAGGCUCCAUGGUGUUGAAGGUUAAAGACUUUGAUAGCCACCGACAAGUUUCCUCCUUCAGUCAGCACUCCUUUGUAUACGGAGCCAGAGCUACCAGCACCAAUUAGAUUUUCUGCAGAGAAACCAUUAGUAGCUUGAACAAGUUGUCUGUAGCUGACUCUCAGGAAGAGUCUGCCUAAGAAGUUUGGUAAUUUUGGUUGGGUCCUUCUCCUUUUAAAUGACCGUAGUCUGAAAAUUGAGAUUGAGGUUACCACUAUCACCAGGAAGGAACUUGUAAUCACCACUGGUAUGAUGAACCUGAGAGGCUUCAUAUUUUUCUUUGACUCUCCCGGAGGGUGGCACUUUGGCAGCUGUAGUUCAGGAAUGCCUCCACAGAGUCUCCUGUUCCCAACAACUGAUACUGCACUAGCAUUUCCAAAAAUACCUUGUCUUGGCACCUCACCCGAGAAAUCAUUGAAGGACAAAUUCAGGGUCUUAAUUGAUAUACUUGCCAUAUAUUGGGGGAUUUGGCCAGAAAAAUUAUUACUAGAAAGGUCAAGAAUUUGGACACUUCUCAAAGAACUAAUGAAUUCAGGAAAAGAUCCCUGGAAAGAGUUACCAGCAAGGGAAAGGAUUUCAAGGCUACUACAACCGCCAAAGGUCCCUGGAAUUUCACCUGACAGGUGAUUUUCUGAAAGAUCCAAUCCAGCUAAAUUUUUCAAGGUGCCGACCUCUGAUGGGAUUGUUCCAGAUAAACUGUUCUGAGAAAGAUUUAAUGAAAUGGACAGGGAAGAUAUCCCAAAAAUCUCUUUUGGUAUCGUACCACUCAAGUUGUUUUGAGAAAGUCCUAGGAGUAACAACUGCUUGCAGUUUCCGAGAGCUGGUGGAAUGGAUCCCUCCAAGUUGUUAUCAUCUAAAUAGAGUUCAUUCAACAGUGAGAGGUUUCCUACAGACUCUGGAAUUUCUCCUGACAAUUUGUUGGAAAUAAGAGCCAGCCGCUGAAGCUUUUGAAGAUAACCAAUUGUACUUGGAACUGUCCCUGUGAGUUGAUUACUUUCAAGAUACAAGGUCUCUAAGCCAAUGAGAUUACCUAAUGUUGAAGGUAUCCCUCCAUAUAUUUGAUUUCCGCCAAGUGACAUAUAGUCUAAGAAUCGGGAUGAUAAGUUGCCGAUACUGUUGGGCAAGACACCCUUUAUUUGGUUGUCUUGUAGGGAAAUUGCGACUAAUUGGCUGCAGUUUGUCAUGGUGCUGAGAAACUGCAAUCCAUCCAGUACUUCCCCACUUCCAAAAUUAUUAUUUGCAGCUAAUAGGGAAAUAAAAUUUUGCAGGCCUCCAAAAUCAACUGCUAUUCUGCCGCUGAAUCCAUUGUGUCCAAUGUCGAUCCAGCCUAGCUCAGAGGCAUUUGACAAAGAGGCUGGAAGUACCCCCCAGAACUGAUUGUCUCUCAACUGGAGAUACUCAAGGCGAGGAAGCAUGAGACCUAAUGCUGAAGGAAGAGUUCCAUGUAGCUGAUUACUUGGCAGAGACAAAACCUCCAGUUGAGAAAGAUUAUAGACAGAAACAGGGAUGUCACCAUUUAGUCUGUUUCCGCCAAAUCCAAUGCCUUUUAGCGUUUUCAACUGACCUAAGGAUUCAGGAAUAUUACCCUCCAAAUGAUUUGCAGCCGCAGAUAGUAAACUCAGGGAAGUAAAAUUCCCCAUGGAAGGAGGGAUAUUUCCUGUAAGGCUAUUGUUUUGAAUAACUAGAGAUUCAAGGUUCCUCAGAGAACCAAAUUCCGGCGGUAUUCUCCCAACUAGGUUAUUGUAGCUUAGGUCAAGAUGCACAAGCUUGGAGCACCGGGAUAGAUUGCCUGGAAUUUCGCCUUCCAGGGAGUCCCAUGACAGAUUCAGUUCCCGCAGCCUGAAGAGAUUUCCAAACUGGGGCGGGAUUCCACCUUGGAAGGUGUUGUUUCUUAGCAUCAACGCACGAAGAAAGCUGAGGUUCCCAAGAAACGGUGACAAGAAGCCAACCAAGCCCCUGCCUUGAAGAUCUAUGCUGGUCACUCUUCUGUGCCUUCGACCGCAUUCGACACCCUCCCAUGAGCAGAAAUGAUGAGAAUCAUUCCACGAGUUCAUGAUCCCAUAAGGGUCAUGCUGUAUUUUUGACUUGAAAUCCAAUAAAGCAACAUGAUCGUGAUGGUCUGCUUCUUUUCUGUCCAUGGUUUUUGUAGAAGCCAUGCUCAGAGGAAGACCUUUGGCAUGUACCUCCAAUGUCAGUAGUGCUAGCACCAGAUAAAUUCUUUUAGUUUCAGGAAUUGAGAUCAGAAAUCUAGCCAUUGUUCAGUGUGGAAAUGUGGAUGUGAUUCCCUUCUCAAGUAGGAAAAUUCUCAGGUAAGUAAACUAGUGAAAAUGGACAAUCAGUACUGUAAGCAUUAUUUAUAAUUUCAUCAGUGACUUCAUAUGUAAAGGACAGAUUCAAGCAUUGACAAAAUUGAGGUUAGAUUCCAGUGAAAAUGUAAGGAAGGUUAGUUAGAGUGACUGAUUGGGACUGAGUUCUUUCAUUAUUUAAAAAGUUACAGAGUAAAUCUUGGUUGAAUAGAGCCAGGUACAACCUAGCUUAGUAAUCAACUACAUUAGGUAAAGUAGAUAUAUAGACACCUCGGAAAGUGCCAAAAACAAGACAGGAACUUGUACUUAAUUAUACUCUGUGAAGUUAGUUAUUGAAUUUGUCAUACUACUAUUAAACAAGUAUAUUAUGUACAUAGGAAAAAUUUUCCAGCAGUAUUUUCCACGUAUCCUAGCUUCGUUUACCACUAUUGGCAGCUAAUCCAUCAACUCUGAUUGGCUAAGUAUGUCGUUGAUUCCAGCAGUAUCUACUUAGUGUGUAUAUAUAUAAGUGUCAGCAGUAUCUACCAAGUUGCGCGACAUCCCUUUCAUUGUUCUACAGUUUCAUUGUAUAAAAUUACUGUCUAUAUAUUUAUACACACCUACCAAAAAGUAGGAAGGUAUACCUAGGAGAAGUUUACAAGUAGAACCAUCUGUGAUGGACAUUGAUGAACACAAGGAACUAGUAUCCCUUGAUGUUUUACUGCAGAAUGUAUAUUACCGCAAAUUUAGUCAAAGAGUUCACAUUUGUGUCUCUGAAUUAUGCUCUUUGCCUCAUGAUUUUGAUCCCCUUUACUGGGGUGUUUGUUCAUGAUGUAGUGUUGGAAUUUUUUGUAUAAAUUUGUUUUACUCGCAAAAUUGCACCAUUAAAGCUUUUUUUUUUUUUUUUUUUUAAAUUGUAGUUACAAGAUGUACUUCAGCAAAAUUGAAUAGAUAUUCAUGUAUGUAGAAAGAAAAUUAAAGGCCCUUAAGUGUUGGUUUAAACACAUGUUAAAGCUUAUUGCUUGAACAAAACUAAUGGUCUCAUGCUUAAGCAAAAGAACAAAAUAUACAGUUGAGGUCCAUUGAAUUUGGCUAGUCUUGAACACUUUAAAUAGAAAUGCUGUUAAAUAUUAUGCAUUUCUGCAUAAUAUCCGAGAUAUUUUACAUAUUGUUAGUAUCACAAACAAUAUUUCAAGUUUCUAUAUAUAUAUAUAUAUAUAUAGUUAGACAGUUAGUAUCACAAACACAUCUUCUAACUACUUUUUUUAUAUUCUUAACUAUCUUUUAAUUUUACAUACAUUAUAUCAUAAAAAAUGCUAGAGUGUUAUUCCAAAUAAUAUUUUCUAACAAUCUCCUAUCCAAAUAUUUUCUUUACAUCUUUCACAUGAAUUCGUCCUGGUUAUAUUAGACAAAUCUUAGUGUUUACAGCAAACUCUUGUAAUUUUUGCUGUAAUUUGAUUAUUUGAUCAUCACAAUUUGUUUGUUUGAAUCAUCAAGAAAAAAUGGAGGUGAUUAGGACUGUUAACUAUUAACAUCAUAGGACUGGCGAUUGAUUACAAAGCUACAUCAUGGUGAAGAGUUUAGGUGGGGGUUCUGAUCAAUCUAUAUUAAUCCCAAUAGGUUUCUUGAGACUAGCCCACUUGAACAAUGUCACUUCACCAAAAGUUGAUUGGCUUAGCUUUGAGAGGUUGAUGUUCUGUAGGAAGGGUGGCUGCGGGUCGGGUACCCGCUCCGUCCACCAUUUGGCUGAUCUGACCCGCACCUUGCGGGUCAACUAUUUUCUGACUUUUAACUGCCUUGUAUAUUAGCGGGUAUUCGGUUAUAGGGUACUCGCUGAGAUAGGGUUGGGUUGAUGGGUACCCGUCCCACCCCACUUAUCAUUUAAUUUUUUUAAAAAAAAUUAUAUUAAUUUAAUUUUAUAUUUUACACAUUCAUCUAAGAUUUAAUAAAGAUUUUUUUCUCAAAAAAAGUCUCCCACCAAAAAACAAGCAUGCGAAGAGAAUACAAGAUAAAAGAAAAAAAAAAUAAAAGAAUUCAAAAUCAAUAAAAGUUUGAAUUAAGUAGCACAUUUUUUUAAAUAUAUGUUUCACAUUAAUUAAAUUCUUUUCUAUAAAACAUAAGAUUAUGACCUCUACAAAUGAGUUUUGUAAAUAAACUAUAGUAUCUCAUGUUUGUAAUGCAAUUUGUUUAGUGAAAUUACUUAUUUGGCUCUAAAAAUAUUGUCUCCGUUUGGAUUAGCUGUUUUUUGGGAUGUUUUUAAAAAUUUUUACUGUAACAGUGUAUAUCGGGCACCCACAGGUUUUUAAUUAUGAGAGCCUAAUCCACCUUGUAUUUUAGUGGGUACUCGACCAUUUUUUGAUCCGAUCAAAUAAUAUAAAUCGAGUAUUCUAAUUUUUGGAUUAGAUCGGAUUGGAUCGGAUCUAUCGACUUUUCGGGUUAAUAGAUAAAUUUGCUCACCCCUAUUAGGAGUAUGCAAUCGGAUUAAAUUAUUGGGAAAAUUGGAAAAAGGGUAGAGACGGAUUCAAAAAUUAUAAGAAGGGGGUAAGUUUUUGAUAUAUUGCUAUAGGGAAAAAUUUUAUUAUUUUUGAAAUCCUUAAAAAAAAAACAUGUUGAAAUUGAUAUGACCAAAUUACAGCAACCCCGAUAAAAAAUUUUAGAUUUUAAUUAUAUACACAUAUGCGCCCAAUAUAGUGCCAUGUAAAAGAUUGAGGAGGCUUGAGGUCGUAGAGGUUUUGAGUUUAAAUCCUUUCCCUUACUCCUUUUGACUUCUUAAAUUCCAUCGUUCCACUAUUGGGAUUAAAAAAAAGAAAAAAGAAAGGUUCAAAGUUUGAGAUUAAUUCUAAGAUGAAGUGAAAGGCAGGCCUCUCCCAAACUAGGGUUAAAUGCACUAAACCUCUUAAUGUUUAAGGUGAUUUGAAUUUUUUCCCCUGACAGUAUCUUUAUUGCUCAUUUUUCCCUCCCCAAAGCCACAUGAAUUUUUUUCCUUUAAAAAAAAAGGUUACAAUUUCUUAAUUUUUAUCCAUUCUUCUUCAUACUGCCCAAACUUCUCCUAUCAUCCAUAUUUUUAGUGGUGAAAUUUUUUUUUGAGAAAUCAAGAAAUAAAUUUCCAAAAUAUUCCACUUCUAAUUAAAAAAAAUCACCAAAUUAAAUAAAUUCAAAAUUUUGUUAUUAUCCAAAAUAUUCCUCCUCAAGUUAUGAACAUUAAUAAGUGAAGGUGAUAUAGAAAUAUGGUAAUACAUCCCUUAUAUGCAUUCUGUGGACAGUCAAAAACUUUGAUAACAAUUAAAAAAAAAGUUUUAAAUGGUACUCUUUUUUGUUAAUCAUUCUAUAAUUUCUUUCCACACGAAACGACUUAUGUCACAUUUUACAAUACAGAAUGUAUUCAGAUGCAAAAACUAGUAGUUGACCAAAUUCACAUUCAUAUACAUAGACCGGAGAUUAGUACUUUUUGCAAUGUGAUAUAUAUGAGAUAAAAAAAUAAUUGAAAAGAUAAAAUGAUAUGUUGAAAAAUGUGUCUGCGAUGAGCUGAGGCAAAAUGGACAACAUAUAAACAUUAUUAACUUGAGUUGACCCGAAACAAGAAACUGUUAUUUAAGCCGUAAGUUGAAUUGAACAAUUUACUUUCAACUCAUUCGAGAAUGCACGAAAAGGCUAGCGUUAAAUGACUUGAUUAACUGCAAUGUGGAGAGUAAAUUGGGGGGAUUUGAUCAAAACAAAUGUGUAAAGCCAAGAAGAGUAAAAGUUCAUUUACAUUAAAAUGAGAGAUUUGUGGAUCAUAAUACAAACGUUUGAUUACACUAUGAAUUUCAAGGUUUUUCUGUUUAUUGGAGCUAUUUUAAAGUUCUACCAUGGUAAAUGUGCCCUUAAUAGACUUUAAUCUGCAAACAACUUGCGUCAUAUUUAUUCUAUCUUCUGGCAAGUGCAUGGAGCAAGCCAAGCCAACUUUAAGCAAUGAAAUCAAACACUGCUCUAGUAAAUUGCAUUUUGUUUCUCCUAGUGGACUGCUUCUGUUAUUGGCUGCUGUAGUUCUUCUGUGAUCUUCACACAGAAGUACUGGAUCCACAAUGUCCAUCACACGCUCAGGAAUUGCCAUUUCAACGUAGGUAUGAAGAUCAAGGCCUCCAGUGAACAAAGGAUGUGUAGGCUUCUUCCCAGUCAUCAUCUCCAGCAAUAGGAUUCCGAAGCUGUAGACAUCUCCAUUACUUGAUACCCCGGCACCUAAGCCAUACUCUGCAUUAAUGUUGAAGCUUGUUAGACAGCCAAAGUAUGAAUUGUCAAAAAUAGCUCAGUUUUAAAAUUUGUUGUUUUGUAUAUGAUGUUGAAUGAACAUAGGUAAGAAAGAUUAAUUUAAAAAAAUCAGUCAGAUUUGUACUUUCUUACCUGGAGCUACAUAUCCAAUAUUUCCUCUGAUUCCAGCAGAGCUCGUUUCCGGCAAAUUUGGAGCUGAAUGAACAUAUUUUGCCAGCCCAAGAUCUCCAACAUGGGCUGUCAGAUCGCUGUCAAGGAGAAUAUUACUUGGUUUUAGAUCGCAAUGAACAAUCUGCUUGUGGCAAUGAUGAUGUAGAUAAUCAACGGCACAAGCCACAUCAAUAGCAACAUUAAUUCGCUGAAGAAGGUUUGGUAUAGGAAAAAUGUGCUGCUGAUGUUCAUCUGCUCGAUGCAACCAAGUUUCUAGACUGCCGUUGGGCAUGAACUCGUAGAUUACAGCUUUAAAAUCAUUCCCUUGGAAGUCCAGACCUGAGGAAGAACUUAUAAUCUUCACGAGGUUCCGAUGCCGGAUGUUUCUCAUUGCAUCACACUCAGCAAUAAAACUCUUGAAGGCUCCAUGGUGUUGAAGGUUAAAGACUUUGAUAGCCACCGACAAGUUUCCUCCUCCAGUCAGCACUCCUUUGUAUACGGAGCCAGAGCUACCAGCACCAAUUAGAUUUUCUGCAGAGAAACCAUUAGUAGCUUGAACAAGUUGUCUGUAGCUGACUCUCAGGAAGAGUCUACCUGAGAAGUUUGGUAAAUUUGGUUGGGUCCUCCUCCUUUUAAAUGACCGUAGUCGGAAAAUUGAGAUUGAGAUUACCACUAUCACCAGGAAGGAACUUGUAAUUACCACUGGCAUGAUGAACCGUAGUCGGAGAAGCUUCUUAUUUUUCUUUGACUCUCUUAGGGGCUGACACUUUGGUAGCUGUAGUUGGGGAAUGCCUCCACAGAGUCUUUUGUUCCCAACAACUGAUAUAGCACUAGCAUUUCCAAAAAUGCCUUGUGUUGGUAGCUCGCCCACAAAAUCAUUGAAGGACAAAUUCAGGGCCUUUAUGGACAUUCUUACUAAAAAUUGGGGGAUUGGUCCAGAAAAAUUGUUACUAGAAAGGUUAAGAUUUUGAAUACCUUUCAAAGAACUGAUAAAUUCUGGAAAAGAUCCCUGGAAAGAGUUACCAGCAAGGGAAAGGAUUUCAAGGCUACUACAACCACCAAAGGUCCCAGGAAGUUCACCUGACAGGUGAUUUUGUGAGAGAUCCAAUCCAGCUAAAAUUUUCAAGGUGCCAACCUCUGAUGGGAUUGUUCCAGAUAAAUGAUUCUGGGAAAGAUCUAAUGAAAUGGACAGGGAAGAUAUCCCAAAAAUCUCUUUUGGUAUCGUACCGCUCAAGUAGUUUUGAGAAAGUCCUAGGAGUAACAACUGCUUGCAGUUUCCAAGAGCUGGUGGAAUGGAUCCCCCCAGGUGGUUAUCAGCUAAAUAUAGUUCAUUCAACAGGGAGAGGUUUCCUACAGACUCUGGAAUUUCUCCUGACAAUUUAUUGGAAUGAAGAGACAGCCGCUGGACUUUAUGAAGAUAACCAAUUGUACUAGGAACCGUCCCUGUGAGUUGAUUACUUUCAAGAAAUAAAAGCUUUAAGCUGAUGAGAUUACCUACCGUUGAAGGAAUUUCUCCGUAUAUUUGGUUUCCACCAAGUACCAAGUAUUGGGAUGAUAAGUUACCGAUACUGUUGGGCAUGAUCCCCUUUAGUUGGUUGCCACCUAGGUCAAUUCCAAAUAAUUGGCUGCAGUUUGUCAUGGUACUGAGAAACUGCAAUCCAUCCAGUACUUCCCCACUUCCAAAAUUAUUAGCUGCUGCCAAUAGCCAAUGAAAAUUUAGCAGGCCUCCAAAAUCAACUGCUAUUCUGCCGCUGAAUCCAUUGUCUCCAAUUUCGAUUCGGCCUAGCUCAGAGGCAUUUGACAAAGAGGCUGGAAGUACCCCCCAGAACUGAUUGUCUCUCAACUGGAGAUACUCAAGGCGAGGAAGCAUGAGACCUAAUGCUGAAGGAAGAGUUCCAUGCAGCUGAUUACUUGACAGAGACAAAACCUCCAGCUGAGAGAGAUUAUAGAUAGAAACAGGGAUGUUACCAUUUAGUCUGUUUCCGCCAAAUGCAAUGAUUUUUAACGUUUUCAACUGACCUAAUACUUCGGGAAUUUUUCCCUCCAAAUGAUUUUCGGCCGCAGAUAGUAUACUCAGGGAAGUAAAAUUCCCCAUGGAAGGAGGGAUAAUUCCUGUUAGGUUAUUGUAGUGAAUCGCGAGGAAUUCAAGGUUCCUCAGGUAACCAAAUUCUGGUGGUAUUCUCCCAACUAGCCUGUUGAAGCCUAGGCUAAGUUGCAAAAGCUUGAAGCACUGGGAUAGAUUGCCUGGAAUUUCGCCUUCCAGGGAGUUCGAUGACAGAUUCAGUUCCUGCAGCCUGAAGAGAUUUCCAAACUGGGGCGGGAUUCCACCUUGGAAGGUGUUGUUACCUAGCAUCAACGUACGAAGAAAGCUGAGGUUUCCAAGAAAAGGUGACAAGAAGCCAACCAAGCCUCUGCUUUGAAGAUCUAUGCUGGUCACUCUUUUGUGCUUGCGACCGCAUAGAAUUCCCUUCCACGAGCAGAAAUCAGAGUCAUUCCAUGAGUUCAUAAUCCCAUAAGGGUCAUGUUGAAUUUUUGACUUGAAAUCCAAUAAAGCAACAGGAUCACCAUCACGAUCACGAUUACGUGCUUCUCUUUUGGCCAUGGUUUUUGUGGAAGCCGUGUCCAAAGGAAGAUUUUUGGCAUGCAACACCAAUACUGUCAGCAGUGCUAGCGCGAGACAAAUCCUUUCAGUUGCAUGAAUUGAGAUUAAAAAUCUUGCCAUUGUCCAGAGUGGAAUUGUGGAUGAGAUUCCCUCUCGAGUAGGAAAAUACUUGCAGUAGACUAGUGAAAUUUGAUAAUCAGUACAUAGGUUACUCCGUUUGUGCAAGGACAGAUUCAAGCAUUGAUAGAUUGAGGUUAGAUGCUAGUCAAAAUGCAUUAAGGGCUAGACUUGAGUCCCGGGAUUUGACCGCAGACUUAGAAAGCCACCUACAGACGCUUUACGCCCAAUCAUUCCGGAUAACGCUUGCAUUUUAGAGUGACCAGACUCCAGCUUAAGUUCUUUGUUUCUAAAUGAAAAGCUGUACAAUAAACCUUAGUAGACUCGGGACCAAUACAAUUGUAAACUAUUAAUUAGGUUUUUGCGUACAUUUGAUCCACAUCGGGACAAGUAUGAUUGACGUUUGAUACAAUUGGUACGAUUAUUAUACUUUUUACAAAAGUUAGCAUACGUUUACAAACGUGAUUGUAUUCAUAUACUAUACUAAUUUAAUGUACAUGAACACAUGUAUAUAGUAAAACAAUAUUCAUGCAUACUAAAUUAUAUAAAAUAUACACCGAUCAAAUAUGCGCAUGGAGAUCUCAACAUUACUUGUCCUCAAUUAUAUUUACUUGUUAUACCUUAUCGUGUCCAAUUACACUAUUCUUGGAGGAUGAGUGCAUGGGAUAUUUUAUUCAUCUAUACCGUUUUAAUUGUAUAGGAAGGAUUAUACAAUAAUUGUCCUCAAUGGGGAUCAACUUGGAAGCUUUACGAUGGAUUCAAUGGAUUUCUACCUUGUAUAUAAAUAAGAAGAAAAUCAAGUUACUGUAGCAAUCGAUCUUAGAUUUAAAUCUGAAUUUCCUAUACGUAUGCAUUCGAUUCAAACUGAGUGUCAAAAUGCUUUUGUGUUGUACAUAUUUAAUUUUUUUGUGUAUAAUUAUAUUAUAAUAUUAUACCGAAUAUAUGUAAAGUAUUUUAUUAAUGUACACUAUUUCUUUUUUUUUUUUUCACGAGUUCAAUAACAUAAAAUGUGAUUAUACGCCAAACCAUGUAACAAGUAUAAUGACCAAAUUGAAUUACACGGAACCAAAACCGCACUGGCACUCAUUCCGUCCAAUGCAGUGUCAUGUAAAGAGUCUUACUUUUGAAAUUGUCAUCAUCGUAAUGCAUACUAUUUAACCUUUGAUUUUUCUGAAAGGAACUCAAACAGUUAUGUGCUCCAUUGACUUGUAACUAUCAAGUUUGCAUACCAUCCUCCAAAGAAAUUGAAAGUUGACACUGCCAACCAAAUAAUCGAAUGGUUUUGGUUACAUUUGAUUCUUUUGGAAAGAGUUUAAAGGCCACACUCAAUUCAAUGAAAAUUUGACAUUUUGCAGCCAAUUAUUCUAAUGGUUUUGUUUGUAUCCCUGGACAAGAAUUUAUGCUAAGGCAUGGGCACUAAUGUGCUUGAGAUCCCACAUUGUAUGGUUUGUGAAAGGAAAACUCCAAAUUGCGUAGUCAUGUGGAGAAAAUUAAAAGUCGUUGGAGAGGUUGAUGCAAUUGUUAACUUAUAAUAUGGGCAAAGGUGGGAAAAGGGUAAUUUUUUGAAGAGGCAAAUUGGAUUGAACCUAAUGCAUACAGGAUACAACUGGUUUCUAGCCAAAUAAAGGUAAAGCGGAUGGCCAAAUUCUCAAAAAUUGGGAAAGAAAAAUGUUGUUAUUAGAAGGACAGUUCAUUGAUAAUUGCAGAACCAUUUCAGACAGCCAAAGUUUAAACAUAAAAUGUCAAAAACAAUUUAUAUCAAGGGAAAAUUUUCGUGUUUUUUAUAUGAUGUUGCAUAAUUAUAUGUACAAACAAUAAAGAAUCAAAUAUAUGUGUUCUUUCUUUCCUGGAGCCACAUAUGACAUAUCCUAUAGUUCCUCUGAUCCCAGCAGAGGUGCUUUCUAAUGAUCUGGGAGGUGAAUGAAGAUACUUUGACAGCCCAAAAUCUCCAACAUGGGCUAUCAGAUCACUGUCAAGAAAAUAUUGUUUGGUUUAAGAUCGCAAUGAGCAAUCUGCCUGUGGCAAUGAUGAUGUAGGUAAUCGAGGGCACAAGCCACAUCAAUAACAACAUUAAUUCUUUGAAGAAGGUUCAGUCUAUGAAACAUCUUCUGCUGAUCUUCUUCUGUUGGAUGCAACCAUUUUUCUAGACUCCCAUUAGGCAUGAACUCAUAGAUUAAAGCUCUAAAUUCAUUCCCUUGGAAAUCCAGACCGGAGGAAGAACUUACAAUCUUCACAAGGUUUCGAUGCCGGAUGUUUCUCAUUGCUUCACACUCAGCACUAAAACUCUUUAAAAGAUCCAUGGUGGAAAAGGUUAAAGGCUUUGAUUGCCACUGCUAAGUUUCCAGCUUCAGUCAGUGUUCCUUUAUAUACUGAGCCAGUGCUACCAACACCAAUUAAAGCUUAUUGCUUGAACAAAACUAAUAGUCUCAUGCUUAAGCAAAAGAACAAAAUAUACAGUUGAACUCCAUUAAAUUUGGCUAGUCUUGAACACUUUAAAUAGAAAUGUUGUUAAAUAUUAUGGGUUUCUACAUAAUAUCCGAGAUAUUUUACAUAUUGUUUGUAUCACAAACAAUACUACAAGUUUCUACCUAAAUAUAUAUCACAAACAAUAUAUAUAUAUAUAUAUAUAUAUAUAUAUAUAUAUAUAUAUAGUUAGUUAGUAUCACAAACACUUCUAACUACUUUUUUUCUUAAUAUUCUUAACUGUCCUUUUGGAUUAAUCUUUCCUACACUGACAGUGUAUACACUAUCAGCAUUGGAUGAAUGAUAACUAUGCAAAAUUUGAGUUUGAAAUUCAACUUUUGUACUCAUGUCAUGAAUCCAACGAUAAUAGUGUAUACACCGUCAGUGUAGGAAAGAUUUACUCCUGUCUUUUAAUUUCACAUACAUUACAUCAUAAAAAAUGCUAUAAUGUUAUUCCAAAUAAUAUUUUCUAAAAAUCUCCUAUCCAAACAUUUUCUUUACAUCUUCCACAUGAAUUCGUCCUGGUUGCAUUAGAUAAAUCCAAAAUCUUGUAAUUUUUCCUGUAAUUUGAUUAUUUGAUCAUCACAAUUUGUAUGUUUGAAUCAUCAAGAAAAAAUGGUGGUGAUUAGGACUGUUAACUAUUAACAUCAUAGGACUGGCGAUUGAUUACAAAGCUACAUCAUGGUGAAGAGUUUAGGUAGGGGGUUUUGAUCAAUCUACCUAUAUAUAUAUAUACACACAUAUGUAUAUUAAUCCCAAUAGGUUUCUUGAGACUAGUCCACUUGAACAAUGUCACUUCACCAAAAGUUUAGACGACGAUGUUUUGUUGCAACCAGAUCAUAAAUUAUUGGGAAAAUUGGAAAAAGGGCAGAGACGGAUUCGAAAAUUAUAAGAAGGGGGUAGGUUUUUGAUAUACUGUUAUAGGGAAAAAAUUUAUUAUUUUUGAAAUUCUUAAAAAAAAUACGUUGGAAUUGAAAUGACCAAAUUACGGCAACCCCCAUAAAAGAUUUUAGAUUUUAAUUAUCUACACAUAUGCCUCCAAUACAGUGUCAUGUAAAAGAUUGAGGAGGUUUGAGGUCUUAAAGGUUAUGAGUUUAAAUAGGAAUAGCAACGGGGCGGGUUUGGGGCGGGGACCCCGCUUCGCUGUCCAAUACUUCCCCCCACCCCUGCCUUGCCUCCCAUCCCCCGCUUCCCCCCACCUCGCCCCCACCCCGCCCUACUUUCGCCGUGGGAUUAAUAAAAAUUUGUCAUAUAAUUUCAUUGUAGUUAAAUUUUAGCAAAUGAUUAAGUACUAAAAUAUCAAUACAUUACUAAAUCGUUAUACAUUGUAAUUUAACAAUUGAAAUCUGUAAGAACAAUCAAACAAAAAUUAUUUGAAUACAAUCUAACAUGAUGAAACAAAUAAAACUAAAGUAGUCAAGUUUUCACUUUUGAAAUAAAUAUAAUCACUAAGUCUUUAUUGUAUUUUUUUUUGACAAAAAAUAUUAUUGUGUUAAGUGUAAUUAGAAAUUUAGUAUAAAUAUAUUAGUAAAUUUAGUAUAACUAAUUAAUAAUUUCUAUUAGUAGAUAUGUAUAAUUAUUAGUCUAAUUGAUAAUAUCAAUUGUAUUACAUAUAUUAAUAUACAUUAUAUAAUACUUAUAAUUAAUAACAUUAUUAUUAUAAGUUUGUAACUAAUUAAAUUAAAUAUUACAUACAUAUAUAUAUAUAUAUAUAUAUACACACACUAACGAGUGGGGGGCGAGGGAUGGGGCAGGGUGAUUAGCCUCCGCGGUUGCCAUCCCUAGGUUUGAAUCUUUCCCCUUAUUCCUUUCGACUUCUUAAAUUCUAGCCUUCCACUAUUGGGAUUAAAAAAAAAAAAGAAAGGGUCAAAGUUUUGAGAGUAAUUCUGGGAUGAAGUGAAAGGCAGGACCCUCUCAAACUAGGGUUAAAUGCACUAAACCUCUUAAUGUUUAGGGUGAUUUGAAUUUUUUCCCCCUACAUUAUCUUUAUUGCACUUUUUUCCCUCCCCUAAGCCACAUCAACUUUUUGCCUUAAAAAAAACGGUUCCAAUUUCUUUUUUUUUUUUUUAUCCAUUCUUCUUCAUACUGCCCAAACUUCUCCUAUCAUCCAUAUUUUUAGUGCUGAAAUUUUAUUUUCUUUUUUUUGAGAAAUCAAGAAAUAAAUUUCCAAAAUAUUCCACUUCUAUUAGAAAAAUCACCAAAUUAAAUAAAUUCAAAACUUUGCUAUUAUCCAAAAUAUUCCUCCUCAAAUUAUAAACAUUAAUAAGUGAAGGUGAUAUAGAAAUAUGGUAAUAUAUCCAUUAUAUGCAUUCCGUGGACAGUUAAAACUUUGAUAACAAUUAAAAAAAAAAGUUUUACAUGGUACUCUUUUUUGUUAAUCAUUCUAUAAUUUUUUCCACACGAAACGACUUAGGUCACAUUUUACAAUACAGAAUGUAUUCAGAUGCAAAACUAGUAGUUUACCAAAUUCACAUUCAUAUACAUAGACAGGAGAUUAUUUAAAAGAAUAACUGUAAUACUUUUUGGAAUAUGAUAUAUAUGAAAUAAAAAAAUAAUUAAAAAAAUAAAAUGAUAUGGUGAAAAAUGUGUCUGUGACGUAAGCAAACAAUUUUUUGACAAAUAAUUUCUAUCCAAACACCCCGGCAUUUUUCUUUCUUUCUUUCUUCUUUCCCCUAAACAUCUGGUUAUGCACGUAUGGAUUUAAUUUGGAAACUUGGAGCUUGAUCAACUUCAUCUUGAGCUCAUGCUAAGCCUUUUCUGCUGAUUUUCACCACUGUCAUGCAUCCCACCCUGCCACUGCUACAGAAACCAUCAAUUAUAGCUGAAUCUUAAUCCAAUGUCCAACAUUUUUCUAAGGCUCAUACUGUAUGGAUUGGAUCAUAAUGCAAUAGCAAGAUGAAAGACUGAAAUCUCUUCCUCUCUCCCAAAACAAAAACAACCUUCUUGUACUUCAAGGUUCCUCAGAUCAUUAAGCAAAAGGUCAGUCAUUGCUGCUUAAAGAUUGUCACACCUGAAGUUAAUUAGUUCACUGCCACACUAAUAAGAUGAGCUGAGGCAAAAUUGACAGCAUAUAGACAUUGUUAACUUGAGUUGACCCGAAACAAGAAACAGUUAUUUAAGCCGUAAGGUGAAUUGAACAAUUUACUUUCAACUCAUUCGAGAAUGUGCGAAAAGGCUAGUGUUAAAUGACUUGAUUAACUGCAAUGUGGAGAGUAAAUUGGGGGGAUUUGAUCAAAACAAAUGUGUAAAGCCAAGAAGAGUAAAAGUUCAUUUACAUCAAAAUGAGAGAUUUGUGGAUCAUAAUACAAACGUUUGAGUACACUAUGAAUUUCCAAGGUUUUUCUGUUUAUCGGAGCUAUUUUAAAGCUCUGCCAUGGUAAAUGUGUCCUUGAUAGAUUUUAAUCUGCAAACAACUUGCGUCAUAUUUAUUCUAUCUUCUGGCAAGUGCAUGGAGCAAGCCAAGCCAACUUUAAGCAAUGAAAUCAAACACUGCUCUAGUAAAUUGCAUUUUGUUUCUCCUAGUGGACUGCUUCUGUUAUUGGCUGCUGUAGUUCUUCUGUGAUCUUCACACAGAAGUACUGGAUCCACAAUGUCCAUCACACGCUCAGGAAUUGCCAUUUCAACGUAUGUAUGAAGAUCAAGGCCUCCAGUGAACAAAGGAUGUGUAGGCUUCUUCCCUGUCAUCAUCUCCAGCAAUAGGAUUCCGAAGCUGUAGACAUCUCCAUUACUUGAUACCUCGGCACCUAAGCCAUACUCUGUAUUAAUGGUGAAGCUUGUUAGACAGCCAAAGUAUGAAUUGUCAAAAAUAGCUCAGUUUUAAAAUUUGUUGUUUUGUAUAUGAUGUUGAAUGAACAUAGGUAAGAAAGAUUAAUUUAAAAAAAUCAGUCAGAUUUGUACUUUCUUACCUGGAGCUACAUAUCCAAUAGUUCCUCUGAUUCCAGCAGAGCUCGUUUCCUGUAAAUUUAGAGCUGAAUGAACAUAUUUUGCCAGCCCAAGAUCUCCAACAUGGGCUGUCAGAUCGCUGUCAAGUAGAACAUUACUUGGUUUUAGAUCGCAAUGAACAAUCUGCUUGUGGCAAUGGUGAUGUAGAUAAUCAACGGCACAAGUCACAUCAAUAGCAGCAUUAAUUCUCUGAAGAAGGUUUGGUAUAGGAAAAAUGUGCUGCUGAUGUUCAUCUGUUAGAUGCAACCAAGUUUCUAGACUGCCGUUGGGCAUGAACUCGUAGAUUAAAGCUUUAAAAUCAUUCCCUUGGAAAUCCAGACCUGAGGAAGAACUUAUAAUCUUCACGAGGUUCCGAUGCCGGAUGUUUCUCAUUGCAUCACACUCAGCAAUAAAACUCUUGAAGGCUCCAUGGUGUUGAAGGUUAAAGACUUUGAUAGCCACCGACAAGUUUCCUCCUUCAGUCAGCACUCCUUUGUAUACGGAGCCAGAGCUACCAGCACCAAUUAGAUUUUCUGCAGAGAAACCAUUAGUAGCUUGAACAAGUUGUCUGUAGCUGACUCUCAGGAAGAGUCUACCUGAGAAGUUUGGUGACUUUGGUUGGGUCCUCCUCCUUUUAAAUGACCAUAGUCGGAAAAUUGAGAUUGAGAUUACCGCUAUCACCAGGAAGGAACUUGUAAUUACCACUGGCAUGAUGAACCUGAGAAGCUUCUUAUUUUUCUUUGACUCUCUUAGGGGGUGGCACUUUGGUAGCUGUAGUUGGGGAAUGCCUCCACAGAGUCUUUUGUUCCCAACAACUGAUAUAGCACUAGCAUUUCCAAAAAUGCCUUGUGUUGGUAGCUCGCCCACAAAAUCAUUGAAGGACAAAUUCAGGGACUUUAUGGACAUUCUUACUAAAAAUUGGGGGAUUGGUCCAGAAAAAUUGUUACUAGAAAGGUUAAGAUUUUGAAUACCUUUCAAAGAACUGAUAAAUUCUGGAAAAGAUCCCUGGAAAGAGUUACCAGCAAGGAAAAGGAUUUCAAGGCUACUACAACCACCAAAGGUCCCAGGAAGUUCACCUGACAGGUGAUUUUCUGAAAAAUCCAAUCCAUCUAAAAUUUUCAAGCUGCCAACCUCUGAUGGGAUUGUUCCAGAUAAACUGUUAUGAGAAAGAUUUAAUGAAAUGGACAGGGAAAAUAUCCCAAAAAUCUCUUUUGGUAUCGUACCACUCAAGUUGUUUUGGGAAAGUCCUAGGAGUAACAACUGCUUGCAGUUUCCAAGAGCUGGUGGAAUCGAUCCCCCUAGGUGGUUAUCAUCUAAAUAUAGUUCAUUCAACAGUGAGAGGUUUCCUACAGACUCCGGAAUUUCUCCUGACAAUUUAUUGGAUUGAAGAGACAGCCGCUGGACUUUCUGAAGAUAACCAAUUGUACUAGGAACUGUCCCUGUGAGUUGAUUACUGUCAAGAAAUAAAGUCGUUAAGCUGAUGAGAUUACCUACCGUUGAAGGAAUUUCUCCGUAUAUUUGGUUUCCACGAAGCCACAAGUGUUGGGAUGAUAAGUUACCGAUACUGUUGGGCAAGAUCCCCUUUAGUUGGUUGCCACCUAGUUCAAUUACCCAUAAUUGGCUGCAGUUUGUCAUGGUACUGAGAAACUGCAAUCCAUCCAGUACUUCCCCACUUCCAAAAUUAUUAUGUGCAGCAGCUAGCAAAAUAAAAUUUUGCAGGCCUCCAAAAUCAACUGUUAUUCUGCCGCUGAAUCCAUUGCCUCCAAUGUCGAUCCGGCCUAGCUCAGAGGCAUUCGACAAAGAGGCUGGAAGUACCCCCCAGAACUGAUUGUCACUCAACUGGAGAUACUCAAGCUGAGGAAGCAUGAGACCUAAUGCUGAAGGAAGAUUUCCAUGUAGCUGAUUACUUGGCAGAGACAGAACCUCCAGUUUAGAAAGAUUAUAGACAGAAACAGGGAUGUUACCAUUUAGUCUGUUAUCGCCAAAUCCAAUGCGUUUUAACGUUUUCAACUGACCUAAUUCUUCGGGAAUUUUUCCCUCCAAAUGAUUUUCAGCCGCAGAUAGUGUACUCAGGGAAGUACAAUUCCCCAUGGAAGGAGGGAUAUUUCCCCUAAGGUUAUUGUGGCGAAUCAUGAGGGAUUCAAGGUUCCUCAGGUAACCAAAUUCUGGUGGUAUACUCCCAACUAGAUUAUUGUGGCUUAGGUUAAGAUGCAAAAGCUUGAAGCACUUGGAUAGAUUGCUCGGAAUUUCGCCUUCCAGGGAGUUCCGUGACAGAUGCAGUUCCUGCAGCCUGAAUAGAUUUCCAAACUGGGGCGGGAUUCCACCUUGGAAGGUGUUGUUACUUAGCAUCAACGUACGAAGAAAGCUGAGGUUUCCAAGAAAAGGUGACAAGAAGCCAACCAAGCCUCCGCUUUGAAGAUCAAUGCUGGUCACUCUUUUGUGCUUGCGACCGCAUAGAACACCCUUCCAUGAGCAGAAAUCAUGAGAGUCAUUCCAUGAGUUCAUAAUCCCAUAAGGGUCAUGCUGAAUUUUUGACUUGAAAUCCAAUAAAGCAGCAGGAUCACAAUCACGAUCACGAUCACGAUUAUGUGCUUCUCUUCUGGCCAUGGUUUUUGUGGAAGCCGUGUCCAAAGGAAGAUUUUUGGCAUGCAACACCAAUACCGUCAGCAGUGCUAGCGCGAGACAAAUCCUUUCAGUUGCAUGAAUUGAGAUUAAAAAUCUUGCCAUUGUCCAGAGUGGAAUUGUGGAUGAGAUUCCGCUCUCAAGUAGGAAAAUACUUACAGUAGACUAGUGAAAUUUGAUAAUCAGUACAUAGGUUACUCCAUUUGUGCAAGGACAGAUUCAAGCAUUGAUAGAUUGAGGUUAGAUGCUAGUCAAAAUGCAUUGAGGGCUAGACUUGAGCCCCGGGAUUUGACCGCAGACUUAGAAAGCCACCUACAGACGCUUUACGCCCAAUCAUUCCGGAUAACGCUUGCAUCUUAGAGUGACCAGACUCCAGCUUAAGUUCUUUGCUUCUAAAUGAAAAGCUGUGCAAUAAACCUUAGUAGACUUGGGACCAAUACAACUGUAAACUAUUAAUUAGGUUUUUGCGUACAUUUGACCCAGAUCGGAACAAGUAUGAUUGACGUUUGAUACAAUUGAUACGAUUGUUAUACUUUUUACAAAAGUUAGCAUACGUUUACAAACGUGAUUGUAUUCAUAUACUAUACUAAUUUAAUGUACAUGAACACAUGUAUAUAGUAAAACAAUAUUCAUGCAUAUUAAAUUAUAUAAAAUAUACACCGAUCAAAUAUGCGCAUGGAGAUCUCAACAUAACUUGUCCUAAAUUAUAUUUGGUUUACUUGUUAUACCUUAUCGUGUCCAAUUACUCUAUUCUUGGAGGAUGAGUGCAUGGGAUAUUUUAUUCAUCUAUACCGUUUUUGAUUGUAUAGGAAGGAUUAUACAAUAAUUGUCCUCAACGGGGAUCAACUUGGAAGCUUCAACCUUGGUUUUAUAUAGGUUCCAUGACAAGUGUAAGAAGUCAUUUUAUGCUUUAUGAUGGAUUCAAUGGAUUUCUACCUUGCAUAUAAAUAAGAGGAUAGUCAAGUUAGCGUAGCAGCCCAUCCAUCUUGGUUUUAAAUCUCAGUUUCCUACACGUAUGCAUGCGAUUCGAAUUGAGUGCCAUAAUGCUUUUGUGUUGUACAUAUUUAACAUUUUUUUGUGUAAAAUUAUAUUAUAAUAUUAUACCGAAUAUAUGUAAAGUAUUUUAUUAAUGUACACUAUUUUUUUUUUUCACAAGUUCAAUAUACAUCCGUCUGGCAAGUGAGUUUUUUGGGUGUUUGUCUAAAACUUUACUGUAGUUUACUGUAAAAGUUUUUAAAAAAUUUUUUAAGGUGUAUAAAUUUUUGAAUAUUUUUAAGUGUAUAGUUUAAAAAUUUUGAAAAGUUUUUUGAGAUUACUGUAGCUAAAGUUUUUAAAGAACUUAUAGCAGACAAAUUUGACAAAAAACUCAAGUGCCAAACAGGGCCAUACGACAAACCAUGUAACAAGUAUAAUGUCCAAAUUGAAUUACACGGAACCAAAACCGCACUGGCACUCAUUCCGUCCAAUGCAGUGUCAUGUAAAGAGUCAUACUUUUGAAAUUGUCAUCAUCGUAAUGCAUACUAUUUAACCUUUGAUUUUUCUGAAAGGAACUCAAACAUUUAUGUGCUCCCUUGACUUGAAUAUUCUUCACCAGUAACUAUCAAGUUUGCAUACCAUCCGAAGAAAUUGAAAUUUGACACUUCCAACCAAAUAAUCGAAUGGUUUUGGUUACAUUUGAUUCGUUUGUAAAGAGUUUAAGGGCCACACUCAAUUCAAUGAAAAUUUGACAUUUUGCAGCCAAUUAUUCUAAUGGUUUUGUUCGUAUUCCUGGACAAGAAUUUAUGGAAACACAUGGGCACUAAUGUGCCUUGAGAUCCCACAUUGUAUGGUUUGUGAAAGGAAAACUCCAAAUUGUGUAGUCAUGUGGAGAAAAUUAAAAGUCGUUGGAGAUGUUGAUGCAAUUGUUAACUUAUAAUAUGGGCAAAGGUGGGAAAGGGGUAUUUUUUGAAGAGGCAAAUUGGAUUGAACCUAAUGCAUACAUGAUACAACUGGUUUCUAGCCCAAAUAAAGCUAAAGCGGAUGGCCAAAUUCUCAAAAAUUGGGAAAGAAAAAUGUUAUUAGAAGAACAGUUCAUUGAUAAUUGCAUAACCAUUUUUUUGGUCCUCGAUACAUUGGGGAAAAGAGUUGAUUCCAGAUCGAAUAGUACACUACUCAAAUUUGAUUCUAGUUAAAAAAAAAAAAUUCGGAUUCGAACUCGAGUUCAAACUUGUUGAACUCUUGAGAGGUGUGCAAGAGUUAGAGUUUGAUCUCAAUUUUUUGCCUUACUCAAGCUUGAUCAAAUCGAGCCCAAUCAAGUUUAAUCGAGUCCAAUAAAAUUUAAGUAGUAUAAAUUUAUAUUUUAUAUUAUUUUAAACAAGGGACAAGAUAGACUUUUACACUAAUAAAUAAAAUUUUUUUAAAACAUAUAAAUGUGAAACGCAAUUAAAUUAGAUUAAACUCGAUGAAUGUUCGAACUUCGAACUUAACAUAUUAUAUUUGAACUUGAACUCGUCAAGUUAUUUGAAUUACUUGAAUUCAAUCACAAAGUCAAUCAAUGUGAGUUUGAACUCAAAUUAUGGCAGCUUAGUAUGAAGCAUAAGUUGAAGCAUUUUGUCUGGAAAUGUUUGAAGGGAAUCCUGCCAGUCAAUGCAAGCAUCAAGGCUAGAUGUCAGCAAGGCAAUCCAGUGUGUAAAUGCUGUGGUUUAUACUCAGAGUCGAUUGAACAUAUGUUGUUCUUUUGUAGCCAUGCAGAGGUGAUUUGGAAGGUGGCACCAAUUCAAUGGGAUGGGUUGGAGAAUCUAAAGGGAAAGUUCUGGUUGUGGUGGUCUGAGUUAGUGGAGGCUACAUCUAGGGAGAAGGGUGAGGAGCAUGUUAUAUUCACAGUCAACCUACUAUGGCAAAUUUGGAAAGAUAGGAACGAGAUAAAUUUCAAUGGGAAGGGUAGAGGUCCAGGGGUGGUGGUAAAUAAAGCUGUAACGGAGUGGCUGGAGUAUCAAGAGUGUGUAGGGGAGGGAAGUGAGGAAGAGGAGGAACCACAGCAACUAAAAAAGGAGAAAGGAAGAUGGACUGCCCCUGACAAAGGGUGGAUCAAGCUAAAUACUGAUGCUGCAUUGAACCGGCAGAACAGAAAAGCUGGUUGGGGAAUCGUGGCUAGGGACUGGGAAGGAAAGCUGAUUGCUACUUGGGCAUGUCCUUCAUUCACUUGCUCUGUACCUGUACUUGAAGAGGCAUUGGCAAUAAGAGCUGCAAUGGUAAAAGCUGCUACGGAAGGCUGGGAGAAAAUUAUUAUAGAAUCUGACUGUAAGGUGGUGAUCGAUAAGAUUGAGAAGGGAAUGGAAGAUGUUGUUACGUCUACUGUCUUGCAGGACAUUAAACUGCUACAAUAUAACUUUGAAGAAUGUUGGUUUUCCUUUGUUAGAAGGGACUUCAACUUUGUUAGUCACUCUUUAGCUAAGUUUGCUCUUAAGUUAGAUGCUAUUGUUGAUUGGAAAGCUAACUUUCCAGUUUGGUUGCUUGACUGCGCUCAAGCAGACGUAGAGGAGCAGUUGCUUCAGAAUGUGUAACCUGUUUUUGGAUGAAUGAAUUGUUGCCGUUUUAGACAAAAAAAAAAAAAGAAAA
rnacentral:lncRNA from 1 species